rnacentral:rRNA from 1 species
UGGGGAAUAUUGCACAAUGGACGGAAGUUUGAUGCAGCGACGCCGCGUGGAGGGUGUAGGCCUUCGGGUUGUGAACUCCUUUUUCUCGCGAAAAAGGCACAGUUUUGGCUGUGUUGAGGGUAGUGGGGGAAGAAGCGCCGGCUAACUACGUGCCAGCAGCCGCGGUAAUACGUAGGGCGCGAGCGUUGUCCGGAUUUAUUGGGCGUAAAGAGCUCGUAGGUGGUUCGUCGCGUCUGUCGUGAAAGCCAGCAGCUUAACUGUUGGUCUGCGGUGGGUACGGGCGGGCUUGAGUGCGGUAGGGGUGACUGGAAUUCCUGGUGUAGCGUUGGAAUGCGCAGAUAUCAGGAGGAACACCGAUGUCGAAGGCAGGUCACUGGGCCGUUACUGACACUGAGGAGCGAAAGCGUGGGGAGCGAACAGG